GGCGGCGUGCUUAACACAUGCAAGUCGAGUGCGCGUCUGUAGCAAUACAGAUGGCGCACGGCGCACGGGUGCGUAACACGUGGGUAAUCUGCCCUUCGAUGGGGAAUAACCUCGCGAAAGCGAGGCUAAUUCCGCAUAACAUUCCUAAGACUUCGGUCCCUGGACUCAAAGCCGUAAGGCGUCGAUGGAGGAACCCGCGCACGAUUAGCUAGUUGGUGAGGUAACGGCUCACCAAGGCUAUGAUCGUUAGCUGGUCUGAGAGGAUGGCCAGCCACACUGGAACUGAGACACGGUCCAGACUCCUACGGGAGGCAGCAGUGGGGAAUCUUGCGCAAUGGGCGAAAGCCUGAUGCAGCGACGCCGCGUGGGGGAUGAAGCAUUUCGGUGUGUAAACCCCUUUCGACCGGGAAGAAUGUCCGCCUUUGGCGGAAGUGACGGUACCGGUAUAAGAAGCCCCGGCUAACUACGUGCCAGCAGCCGCGGUAAGACGUANGGGGCCAGCGUUGUUCGGAAUUACUGGGUGUAAAGGGUUCGUA
rnacentral:rRNA from 1 species